rnacentral:rRNA from 1 species
UACGUAGGGUGCAAGCGUUGUCCGGAAUUAUUGGGCGUAAAGAGCUCGUAGGCGGUCUGUCGCGUCGGCUGUGAAAUCCCGGGGCUCAACCCCGGGCCUGCAGUCGAUACGGGCAGACUAGAGUGCGGUAGGGGAGACUGGAAUUCCUGGUGUAGCGGUGAAUGCGCAGAUAUCAGGAGGAACACCGGUGGCGAAGGCGGGUCUCUGGGCCGUAAGUGAACUCUGAGGAGCGAAAGCGUGGGGGAGCGAACAGG